rnacentral:pre_miRNA from 1 species
UGGCACCUGAGGACAGGUCGCCCGUGGCACGUUUGCAUCCACCGUGCCGCACAAUACACGGUCGAGCUCUCCUCGG